UACGUAGGGUGCAAGCGUUGUCCGGAAUCAUUGGGCGUAAAGAGCUCGUAGGCGGUCUGUCGCGUCUGCUGUGAAAACCUGGGGCUUAACCCUGGGCUUGCAGUGGGUACGGGCAGACUAGAGUGCGGUAGGGGAGACUGGAAUUCCUGGUGUAGCGGUGAAAUGCGCAGAUAUCAGGAGGAACACCGGUGGCGAAGGCGGGUCUCUGGGCCGUAACUGACGCUGAGGAGCGAAAGCAUGGGGUAGCGAACAGG
rnacentral:rRNA from 1 species